UUUAUAUAAAAUAUUUUACAUUUAAAAUUUUGGUAAAAUAUUUUACAUUUGCUCUCUCCCUCAUACCCCGAUACUUAUUACUCCCUCACUCCCACAGUCACUUUCACGCUUAAACGCUCCCUCUCAGAUUUCUCUCCAAAAACCCAGCCACCUCCGGUCCCUCUCUCGCACCCAUCACCGGCUCCAAGGUUUGAGGCACCAUCAGCAAGCUCCACCCUCUGUCGGCACUGCCCAUUGCCGGCGAAACCCAGGUUCGAUUUCUACUCCUCACUGGAAAAACACCUCAAAGUUUCAGGAAGUUGCUUCAAUUCUUGUAGCAGAUGGUGUGUCAAGUGAGAAGAUAUUAAGGAACUUCUGACAAACCAGAUGUAGUUCAUAUUGUUGUAUUAUUUUUGAGCAACGGUUAGUGAUUUAUUUGUUCGAACUGCUGAUUAUCAUUUCAGCUUGGUGUAGAAAAUAAAACAUAUUUUGGGAUUUUUGAGCGUCUUAUUGUAUGUGGGAUGGUGGAUGAACGUAUGCUUAUUCUUGUGUUACACAGCAAAGCACUUGCCCAGCUUUCUGAAGACAAUCUAAUCCCAUAUUGCUACU